rnacentral:lncRNA from 1 species
GGGAAAUAAAAGGGAAAAAACACAAACUAACCCGUAGGCGUGUGGCGAUUGCCAGAACUCAAAACACAUGAAACAAAACUAGGUCAAGUUCGUGCAGCGAGUUCACGAAAAUGCCAGCGACCCCGAACGGGCGGAAACUUCCGGCAUUUAUGGGGCGUCAGGAUUAAAGUCAGGUGUGGAGGCCAGCUGCAGGCAAUCCUGACAGAGCCCCCCCUCCAAGGGCUACGUCCUCGGAGCCCCAACAGUACCAUCAGUGGAGGCGGCGGGGUGGACGGCGGCAACCACAGGGCUCCUGCCCUGCUGUAUCCUCCCCUUGGAGGACCCGGUCCCUCGGGCUGGCUCCCCGGCGUGGUCAGGCGUGGCGGCCCCGGUCCCUCGGGCUGGCUCCCCGGCGUGGUCAGGCGUGGCGGCCCCGGUCCCUCGGCCUGGCUCCCCGGCGUGGUCAGGCGUGGCGGCCCCGGUCCCUCGGCCUGGCUCCCCGGCGUGGUCAGGCGUGGCGGCCCCGGACCCUCGGCCUGGCUCCCCGGCGUGGUCCCGCUUGGCGGCCCCGGACCCUCGGCCUGGCUCCCCGGCGUGGUCCCGCUUGGCGGCCCCGGACCCUCGGCCUGGCUCCCCGGCGUGGUCCCGCUUGGCGGCCCCGGACCCUCGGCCUGGCUCCCCGGCGUGGUCCCGCUUGGCGGCCCCGGACCCUCGGCCUGGCUCUCCGGCGUGGUCCCGCUUGGCGGCCCCGGACCCUCGGCCUGGCUCCCCGGCGUGGUCCCGCUUGGCGGCCCCGGACCCUCGGCCUGGCUCCCCGGCGUGGUCCCGCUUGGCGGCCCCGGACCCUCGGCCUGGCUCCCCGGCGUGGUCCCGCAUGGCGGCCCCGGACCCUCGGCCUGGCUCCCCGGCGUGGUCCCGCAUGACGGCCCCGGACUCCCGUACCUGCACACAAUAAUCAGGGCCGAUCCAUCUGGGUACGUGUGGGCCCUGUCUCCACAUGUCCCCUCUGACACAUCUUGUGUCACCCCCUGCACCGCGCAGGGAGAUUGUCCCAGAGCCUCCGGCGACUGUUCCAGGCACCCCAGGCUGGUGCCUUCUGGGACUAUGCAGCCCCUCUCGCUGCCCGGCCCUGGUGCCAAGGGGGGGGCAUUGCCAGACCAUCCGGCUAGCCCCUUCUGCGUCCGUUGGGACAAGCAGGCCCUCUUCCUGCCUGUCCCAGCUGGGUCCUCAUGCCUACCCGGGGGCUCUAUGGCGCUCCACCCCUCUGGAGGC